GACGAACGCUGGCGGCGUGCUUAACACAUGCAAGUCGAACGGAAAGGCCCUGCUUUUGUGGGGUGCUCGAGUGGCGAACGGGUGAGUAACACGUGAGUAACCUGCCCUUGACUUUGGGAUAACUUCAGGAAACUGGGGCUAAUACCGGAUAGGAGCUCCUGCUGCAUGGUGGGGGUUGGAAAGUUUCGGCGGUUGGGGAUGGACUCGCGGCUUAUCAGCUUGUUGGUGGGGUAGUGGCUUACCAAGGCUUUGACGGGUAGCCGGCCUGAGAGGGUGACCGGCCACAAGGGGACUGAGAUACGGCCCAGACGCCUACGGGAGGCAGCAGUGGGGAAUAUUGCACAAUGGGCGGAAGCCUGAUGCAGAAACGCCGCGUGCGGGAUGACGGCCUUCGGGUUGUAAACCGCAUUCGCCUGUGACGAAGCGUGAGUGACGGUAAUGGGUAAAGAAGCACCGGCUAACUACGUG
rnacentral:rRNA from 1 species